rnacentral:rRNA from 1 species
CCCUGUACUACAGUAUGACAGAACUGUGGGGACGCAGAAGGAGAGCACUACCUGGAAUGGAAUCCAGGGGCAAGCACAGGAGGGGUACGGCUGGAAAAACCGCCGUGCAACCCAAAGGUGUGACGCAUACCGAACUAAAGUAGGGAAAUGUGUGAGCCGGCUGCCGAGAAAAGCCGCUAUUGUUUGUACUGUACCCGUACCGUAAACCGACACAGGUGGAUGAGGAGAGAAUCCUAAGGCCGACGGAAGAAGCAUUGCUAAGGAACUCGGCAAAAUGACCCUGUAACUUCGGGAGAAAGGGUGCCUCGAAAGAGGCCGCAGAGAAUAGGCCCAAGCAACUGUUUAGCAAAAACACAGGUCUAUGCAAAACCGCAAGGUGAAGUAUAUGGGCUGACGCCUGCCCGGUGCUGGAAGGUUAAGGGGAGAUGUCAGGAGACGAAGCAUCGAACUUAAGCCCCAGUAAACGGCGGCCGUAACGAUAACGGUCCUAAGGUAGCGAAAUUCCUUGUCGGGUAAGUUCCGACCCGCACGAAAGGCGUAAUGAUUUGGGCGCUGUCUCGGCAAUGCAUCCGGUGAAAUUGAAGUGCCAGUGAAGAUGCUGGCUACCCGCGCCAGGACGGAAAGACCCCAUGGAGCUUUACUCCAGCUUGAUACUGGGAUUCGGUAUUGUAUGUACAGGAUAGGUGGGAGGCUGAGAAAUGGUGACGCCAGUCGCCAUGGAGCCGCUGUUGGGAUACCACCCUUGCAGUACUGGAUUUCUAACCAGCAGCCGUGAUCCGGCUGGGGGACAAUGUCAGGUGGGGAGUUUGACUGGGGCGGUCGCCUCCGAAAGGGUAUCGGAGGCGCUCAAAGGUUCCCUCAGAAUGGUCGGAAACCAUUCGAAGAGUGCAAAGGCAGAAGGGAGCUUGACUGCGACACCGACGGGUGGGGCAGGUACGAAAGUAGGACUUAGUGAUCCGGUGGUAUUAAGUGGGAAUGCCAUCGCUCAACGGAUAAAAGCUACCCUGGGAUAACAGGCUUAUCACUCCCAAGAGUUCACAUCGACGGAGUGGUUUGGCACCUCGAUGUCGGCUCAUCGCAUCCUGGGGCUGUAGUAGGUCCCAAGGGUUGGGCUGUUCGCCCAUUAAAGCGGUACGCGAGCUGGGUUCAGAACGUCGUGAGACAGUUCGGUCCCUAUCCGGCGUGGGCGUAGGAUAUUUGAGAGGAGCUGACCUUAGUACGAGAGGACCGGGUUGGACUGACCUCUGGUGCACCGGUUGUCAUGCCAAUGGCACAGCCGGGUAGCCAAGUCGGGAAGGGAUAAACGCUGAAGGCAUCUAAGCGUGAAGCCCCCCUCAAGAUGAGAUAUCCCCCGCAUAAGCGGUAAGACCCCUUGAAGACGACGAGGUAGAUAGGGCAGAGGUGGAAGUGCAGUAAUGUAUGGAGCUGACUGCUACUAAUAGGUCGAAGGCUUAUC